GCGGAUGACGGAGCUUGCUCCUUGAUUCAGCGGGGACGGGUGAGAAUGCCUAGGAAUUGCCUGGUAGUGGGGACAACGUUUCGAAAGGACGCUAAUACCGCAUACGUCCUCGGGAGAAAGCAGGGACCUUCGGGCCUUGCGCUAUCAGAGAGCCUAGGUCGGAUUAGCUAUUGGUGGGGUAAUGGCUCACAAGGCGACGACCGUAACUGGUCUGAGAGGAGAUCAGUCACACUGGAACUAGACACGGUCCAGACCCUACGGGAGGCAGAGUGGGGAAUAUUGGACAAUGGGCGAAAGCCUGAUCAUGCCGCGUGUGUGAAGAAGGUCUUCGGAUUGUAAAGCACUUUAAGUUGGGAGGAAGGGCAGUAAGUUAAUACCUUGCUGUUUUGACGUUACCGACAGAAUAAGCACCGGCUAACUCUGUGCCAGCAGCCGCGGUAAUGACAGAGGGUGCAAGCGUUAAUCGGAAUUACUGGGCGUAAAGCGCGCGUAGGUGGUUUGUUAAGUUGGAUUGUGAAAGCCCCGGGCUCAACCUGGGAACUGCAUCCAAAACUGGCAAGCUAGAGUACGGAGAGGGUGGUGGAAUUUCCUGUGUAGCGGUGAAAUGCGUAGAUAUAGGAAGGAACACCAGUGGCGAAGCGACCACCUGGACUGAUACUGACACUGAGGUGCGAAAGCGUGGGGAGCAAACAGGAUUAGAUACCCGGUAGUCCACGCCCGUAAACGAUGUCAACUAGCCGUUGGAAUCCUUGAGAUUUUAGUGGCGCAGCUAACGAUUAAGUUGACCGCCUGGGGAGUACGGCCGCAAGGUUAAAACUCAAAUGAAUUGACGGGGGCCCGCACAGCGGUGGAGCAUG
rnacentral:rRNA from 1 species